rnacentral:tRNA from 1 species
AGUAAAAUAAGCUAAUCUAAGCUAUUGGGUUCAUACCCCAAACAUGAGGUCCCCUCUUUUACUA